CUACGCGUGCCUGCCAAGCACUAGGCCCGCCCUAGGCUUGGUCGUCGGUAGGGAGCUGGGUGGCGGCGCCGUCGUUGGCAUGGAGGCGGGACAGUGAGCAGGGGGCAAAGAGGAGGUGACGACCAUGUCCACCACGGGUCUGGAGGUCACCAGCGGAUAACAGAGCGACCGCUCGCGCCGUUCCUUCUCCGUCGACCUUCAGCGCUGCGUGGUUCCUCCGCAGCCGCCGCGCCGCCCGGAACUCCCAACACCGCCUGACUUGGCCAGGGGACGAGCUGUUUGCGGUGAUGGGUGGCUGGAUCUCCCAGCGCCGCCACGGCUCCUGCUGGAGGGCAAGCCUUUUGCGGUGAUGGGCUUCAGCGAUCAGCGGUUCCAUGGAUCUAACAGUUGCCUCACCAUCGCCUCCAAUAUACAAGGGGUCGUCACAAUCUCCACUGCCAAAAGAGAGACGAGGAGAUCCCGCGGUGACCAUCUGGCCAUGGAGCGGGUGGUGCUGGGGCGCUGGGGUGGUCCCUUCCUCCAUGAUUCUGCUAUGAUUCCACUAUUCUGGAGGUGCGACGGAUGGCAGCGGCAAGGAGUCCUGCAGCCGGUUUCAUCGAGGACCUCCGGUUCACGUUCAAGGACGACGCUGCAUACCAUCUCCACGUGCCUUAGGCAAGUCACCGCCCAGGAUCUUGACAGCGGGGCACACAGGUUACUCCUAGGUUCAGGGUGCUGCGUCAGAGACCAUCUCCCAAUGCCUCAGGAAGAGCGCGGCCACGGGCCAUCCGCCGCUGCUCCUCACCCUCGAAAAUCAUGACAUCCUUCCUGCUCGAUCUAACCUCGAGCAGCUCCGUUCGACAUCGACCUCAUGGCUGACCAUGCAUUUCUUUGCUUCCAUAGAAUCCACUUUUCCUGCCACGUCUCAGUUGCCACAAGUGUAGGUGCUUUUCUGUUUGUUUCUAAAUAGGCGGUUUCUGCUGCAUCUUACAUGUCAAGUUUAGCAAUCAUCGAGCAUGGGCAAGCGGUAGUCACUGAGGCGCCGUUGCUGCUCGAGAUCUGGUUCGUCUUUGACGCUGCACGCCGGGAGAUCAUGCAUGUUGGAUCUAUAUGCCACCCCAAUCACCUGAUAUGCUGUUUCCACCGCCAGAGUCAGUGCUUCAGGCUCCAAUGUAGAUGCCACCCCAAUCACCUGAUAUGAUGUUUCCACCGCCAGAGGUGAGGCAAAAUCCUCCUAUUAUCAUCUCUAAAUUGGCUGCGAUUUCUGUGAUUGGCAUGCAGGGUUAUGAUUGAAAUAGUAGUGUUUGAGUGCAGUCAGUGUUUCAGGCUCCAAUGUAGACACUCUUUCCUGUGAUGGAUGCACGGAUGUACUGAGCGUGAGUUGAACUGCCCAACUUGACAGAAAUCCAGUUUUAGUAGUAACAAGAAAAUCAUGCUCGGCAACCCCGUUGGAGACACAUGCAGUGUUCGACUGAUGGAAUGGAGGAACAACAUCUUCAUUGAGCACGAAUGGGAUGCAUUCACGGAGGACAACGACAUUGUGAAAGGUGAUACUCUGUUCUUUAGUUACACCUGAUGUGGACAGCGAGAUAGUUACCUAUAUGCAUCAGGUGUAAGGUCUAGCCACAUGUUCACCUAAAUGUUCAAUUAGUUGGUCCUUUUGACGCUGCCAUUGAACUAAUAGCUAAUUGUGUUUUUUCUUUUCUAAGAGCCAUAUGUAUGCCCUUUCAAAUGACUUGGAAAUAUUGCCAGUUCACAACAGGAUGAUGUUAGCCUGUAAGAAAAUUAGGUGGUGAUUUACCUCUCCCUCACUCUCACUUGCACUGAUUCUUAUAUAUCCCGUAUAGAUAGGCUCCUUUAGCGCUGUUAGGUGCUUCACGGUAGCAUAUACUUGGCACCACUAAGCACUUGAUUAAUUUGUUCAAUGCAACCUGCCAUUUUGUUUGAGAUCUGUCUUUUCAAUUAUAGCAUGCAAAAAUUACCCAUACGACAUACACCUACAAUUAAAGAAAUGCUCUUAUAAUCAGCUUCCAAGUUAUUGGAAUUUAUUUUUUGACGAUUCCAUCAAGUUAAAUACCCUGUACAUUUCAGCUGCUAAAACUUACCAUUAAUUGUUUUAUUCUGCUCUUAGAUUAGAUGUGGGUGCCAUUUUAGACCUUGAUAUAUUUCAGGACAUCA